rnacentral:rRNA from 1 species
GUCUAUGGCUCUCCCACCCUGAUCAAGUCUAAUCUUGUCUGAUCUUGGAAGCUAAGCUAGGUCAAGCCUGGUUAGUACUUAGAUGAAAAACCACCUGGGAAUACCAGGUGCUGUGGACU